UACGGAGGAUGCAAGCGUUAUCCGGAAUGAUUGGGCGUAAAGCGUCCGCAGGUGGCUAUGUAAGUCUGCUGUUAAAGAGUGAGGCUCAACCUCAUAAAAGCAGUGGAAACUACAUGGCUAGAGUGCGUUCGGGGCAGAGGGAAUUCCUGGUGUAGCGGUGAGAUGCGUAGAGAUCAGGAAGAACACCGGUGGCGAAAGCGCUCUGCUAGGCCGCAACUGACACUGAGGGACGAAAGCUAGGGGAGCGAAUGGG
rnacentral:rRNA from 1 species